GGGGCUGAUUCUGGAUUCGACGGGAUUUGCGAAACCCAAGGUGCAUGCCGAGGGGCGGUUGGCCUCGUAAAAAGCCGCAAAAAAUAGUCGCAAACGACGAAAACUACGCUUUAGCAGCUUAAUAACCU
rnacentral:tmRNA from 1 species